rnacentral:rRNA from 1 species
CAAAGACAAGGUUGGCCUAAUUGCGGGGUUUGCCAACUAUGUAAAUCGAAAGGGAAGUCGGAUGCGCAUCUUCUCUUCAAAUGCAGGUACUCCAUGCGCAUUUGGAGAAUGGUCCAAUCUUGGUUCGUCUGAGAUGGCUUGGACCUCAACUGUUGGAGCACUUUCCCCUCGGUCAAAGAUUGGUGGACCUUGGUGCCCCCGAAUAGCUUUAGGCGCAAGGCCAUGUCCUCCCUCUUCAUUCUCAUGGUUUGGAAAUUUUGGAAUGAGCGAAAUUGUUGCACGUUCCGUGGUAUCUCCCCCAUGCCUACUUCGGUCUUCGCCAACAUCAAGCAAGAGGUUUCCUAUUUGGUUUUGGCCAGCUAG